rnacentral:rRNA from 1 species
GAUGAACGCUGGCGGCGUGCCUAAUACAUGCAAGUCGAGCGAACAGACGAGGAGCUUGCUCCUCUGACGUUAGCGGCGGACGGGUGAGUAACACGUGGAUAACCUACCUAUAAGACUGGGAUAACUUCGGGAAACCGGAGCUAAUACCGGAUAACAUGUUGAACCGCAUGGUUCAACAGUGAAAGACGGUUUUGCUGUCACUUAUAGAUGGAUCCGCGCCGCAUCAGCUAGUUGGUAAGGUAACGGCUUACCAAGGCAACGAUGCGUAGCCGACCUGAGAGGGUGAUCGGCCACACUGGAACUGAGACACGGUCCAGACUCCUACGGGAGGCAGCAGUAGGGAAUCUUCCGCAAUGGGCGAAAGCCUGACGGAGCAACGCCGCGUGAGUGAAGAAGGUCUUCGGAUCGUAAAACUCUGUUAUUAGGGAAGAACAAAUGUGUAAGUAACUAUGCACGUCUUGACGGUACCUAAUCAGAAAGCCACGGCUAACUACGUG